rnacentral:ncRNA from 2 species
AGCAGCAGCUAGGGGUCCGGUUCCGGAAUCAUCCGGUAAACCGGUGAGAGAGUCCCUUAACACCUGAUACGGGUAAUGCCGCCGUAGGGAAGCUGGGAUUAGCCGUC